rnacentral:rRNA from 1 species
AUGAGCGCAGAGGAGGGGAGGUCUGCGGCAAGAUGGAGGAAGAGGAUCCCGCGGCCGCCAUGCCCUGCUCGCCGUGCCGGCACCCAGCCGUGCUCCGUCGCGGCCGCCGCAGCCAAGCCACGCACCGACGCGACCGCCGCCCCGUCCUUAGACGAUGUAGACAAGGCCGUCGAGCGUGAGCACAGAGGAGGGGAGGUCAACGGCAAGAUGGAGGAAGAGGAUCCCGCGGCCGCCAUGCCCUGCUCGCCGUGCCGGCGCCCAGCCGCGCUCCGCCACAGAGCUCCCUGGCGCCAGUCGCCAUCCGCGCCGCUCGCCGUCCAGCCGGUCAACAUCCCCAUCGCGGGCAUGUGUGUGUAG